UCCAUGGUAGCUGACGGUAAAGCGUCUGCCUACAAUGCAGGAGACCUGGGUUCGAUCCCUGGGUCGGGAA
rnacentral:tRNA from 1 species